rnacentral:rRNA from 1 species
UACGGAGGGUGCAAGCGUUAUUCGGAUUAAUUGGGUUUAAAGGGCACGCAGGCGGGCUUUUAAGUGAGUUGUGAAAUCCUCGAGCUUAACUUGGGAAUAGCCUUUGAAACUGGGAGUCUAGAGUACUUUUGGGGGGGGUAGAAUUUGUAGUGUAGCGGUGAAAUGCGUAGAGAUGUGGAGGAAUACCGAAGGCGAAGGCAGC